UUCGCCCUUAGAGUUUGAUCCUGGCUCAGAGCGAACGCUGGCGGCAGGCUUAACACAUGCAAGUCGAGCGGGCCCUUCGGGGUCAGCGGCAGACGGGUGAGUAACGCGUGGGAACGUGCCCUUCGGUUCGGAAUAACUCAUGGAAACUUGAGCUAAUACCGGAUACGCCCUUAUGGGGAAAGGCUUGACUGCCGAAGGAUCGGCCCGCGUCUGAUUAGCUAGUUGGUGAGGUAACGGCUCACCAAGGCGACGAUCAGUAGCUGGUCUGAGAGGAUGAUCAGCCACACUGGGACUGAGACACGGCCCAGACUCCUACGGGAGGCAGCAGAAGGG
rnacentral:rRNA from 1 species